AUGAAGGUGUGAAAAACCCGCGGGCGCCGCUACAAACAAACCGACUCAGACCAUCAGAACUAAAGUCAUUCUGGACGGAGCUCUGAGGGGAACUGUGGUACUGCAGUUCCUCCAGACUUGUGAAGUUCCUCUCUAACGUACCUUUGACCUCACAAAAAGAAAUAAAAACCUUAAUUGAAAAUCUACAAAAUGCUUCAACAUAUUUGUUUUGACAGAAUUUCAAACUGGGAAAAAACAAAACAAAAAAAAAAACAAAUCGAGUCAAUACAAAAGUUCUAUUAUCAACAAAGAUUUGGGAAAUAAAAUAAUAAUAAUAAAGAUUUGCUGAGAACAAAGUGGCGAUAAUUAUUUCCAACAAACAUUCCUUCUUCAGUUAAACAAAUGUCACUUUAUUAUGAGUUUUUUAUUAUUUCUAUAAACUCAAAUUGAUUUUAUUCUUGACUUCAUUCCUGAAUGAUGGAAAUGAUUUUUUCAUUUUUAAUAACUUUAUAUUCAUGUUAUAAUUUUUUUUUUUUUAUUUGCUUUUCCUCAAAUUACAAGGUCUUUUUUUUGCACAUCAUCUUCACAGUCAAAUCACUGCCAAAACUGUCCAAUGAGGGAAGUUUCACUUUUAUUUCAUUUACAUUCUUGAUCUUGAAAAAAACAAAAACAAAGGCUCAGCAUCAGAAUUCUGGCUGCAUUUACUCACAGAGCAAAAAACAGAUUUAAUUGAGGCUCUGUUCUCCCAUGUGCCUUCUGGAAAACUGUAGCUGAAAUGUAUAUAUAUAUUUUUUAAUCUGCUUCUGUUCCACCGUGAAGCUGGUCAGAAGAACGCGGUGCUGUGCACAUUUUACAGGAAGCUCUCCAUGUCCAUGGCGCAGGUUCUAGUUUUUGUUCUCUAAAGGUUUGAGGACGUGUACAAAAGUACGUGAGCAAACAAAUCAAUAAUUCAAACAAACAACAAAAGACAAAAAUGCAUCAACUCUUGAGUGAAAUAAAUUACAUUCAUCUAAAAACAAAUCACAAAAAUUAAGACUGUAAUUACACGAGGACUGAUUAUGUAGGAAGAACUGGAUCCUGACGGGUUCACUGAUCCAAUGGCUCCAUCACAUCGGGAAUACUGUAGUGGGAAUUUUAUUCAUGUGCCAGGAGGACCUGGACCAACACAACCUGAUCAGAAUGAACAAAAGUCCAAGUUCAGGAUCCGCUGCCCCCCCCCCCCCAAAAAAAACCACUUGAAGUCACUCGUGCGGGGCGAAAGACACACAAAAAUAGACAGGUGUGCGCCCCCCUGUGGCUGUGGAACAAGCAGAAGCCAGACACGGAGGACGAUAGCUGAAAAAGUGUCAUUUCAGUGGCACUUUACAGAAAAAUGUUCUGAGUUCAGAAAAACCAGAAUAAAUAGAGGGUUGUUUUUUCAUGUUUCACAGAAGCGAGAACUGUGACUGCCCUCUGCUGGCUGGCCGAGGUCUGUUCUCUCAGAAUGUCCUAUCGAUUGUAAUUGACAUCACAACACUCUCAGUCUUCCUGAUGAUCUUGAUUGUAUUCUUUUGUUCAUUCCCGGUGAAUUUUUGGUUUGGCACCGAGACAUGCCCAGCUUGAUCAAAUCACAAAGGUCACUGUACGACCAGCAAAAAGUCACAAAGUCUCCAGACUCCCAGUCCAACUCAGGUCCUUAGACCAGUGAAGGUUUGGGAAAAUGGAGGAUCCAUCACAUCUCAGAGCAGACUUGGGUCUAGACUUGGAAGCAGCCAAACAGAACCAGGGUCAAAAACCCUGUCCUGAGAGUAAAUAUCUCAGCCAUGGGACACAGGUGUGCAGGUUCACGCUCAGGAGAGCAUGCCACAUGGUGGUGCUGGCGCGGCCCGGCGUCCUCCAGACCGCAUGAAUAAAUUCCUGAAUGUGAGCAAGCAGCAAAAGGAGUCGGUUUAACA